rnacentral:rRNA from 2 species
UACGUAGGAUGCAAGCGUUGUUCGGAAUUACUGGGCGUAAAGAGUACGUAGGCGGUUUGGUAAGUCUGAUAUUAAAGACCGGAGCUCAACUUCGGGACUGUAUCGGAAACUGUCAGACUAGAGGACAAUAGAGGAAGUCGGAAUUCUCAGUGUAGCGGUGAAAUGCGUAGAUAUUGGGAAGAACACCAGUGGCGAAAGCGGACUUCUGGGUUGUUACUGACGCUGAGGUACGAAAGCGUGGGGAGCAAACGGG